rnacentral:rRNA from 1 species
UAGGGAAUCUUCCGCAAUGGACGCAAGUCUGACGGAGCAACGCCGCGUGAGUGAAGAAGGUUUUCGGAUCGUAAAACUCUGUUGUAAGAGAAGAACAAAUUGUAGAGUAACUGCUACAGUCUUGACGGUAUCUUACCAGAAAGCCACGGCUAACUACGUGCCAGCAGCCGCGGUAAUACGUAGGUGGCAAGCGUUGUCCGGAUUUAUUGGGCGUAAAGGGGGCGCAGGCUGCUUCUUAAGUCUGAUGUGAAAGCCCACGGCUUAACCGUGGAAGUGCAUUGGAAACUGGGAAGCUUGAGUACAGAAGAGGAAAGUGGAAUUCCCAGUGUAGCGGUGAAAUGCGUAGAUAUUGGGAGGAACACCAGUAGCGAAAGCGGCUUUUUGGCCUGCAACUGACACUGAGGCGCGAAAGCGUGGGGAGCAAACAGG